AGAGCGAACGCUGGCGGCAGGCCUAACACAUGCAAGUCGAGCGCCCGUAGCAAUACGGGAGCGGCAGACGGGAUAGUAACACGUGGGAACGCGCCCUUCGGUUCGGAAUAACUCAGGGAAACUUGAGCUAAUACCGGAUACGCCCUUACGGGGAAAGAUUUAUUGCCGAAGGAACGGCCCGCGUCCGAUUAGCUAGUUGGUGAGGUAAUGGCUCACCAAGGCGACGAUCGGUAGCUGGUCUGAGAGGAUGACCAGCAUCACUGGGACUGAGACACGGCCCAGACUCCUACGGGAGGCAGCAGUGGGGAAUAUUGGACAAUGGGCGCAAGCCUGAUCCAGCCAUGCCGCGUGGAUGAUGAAGGCCUUCGGGUUGUAAACCCCUUUCAGCAGGGACGAAGCGAAAGUGACGGUACCUGCAGAGAAGCGCGGCUAACUACGUGCCAGCAGCCGC
rnacentral:rRNA from 1 species